rnacentral:rRNA from 1 species
UACAGAGGGGGCAAGCGUUGUUCGGAAUUACUGGGCGUAAAGGGCGCGUAGGCGGCCUGUUAAGUCAGACGUGAAAUCCCCGGGCUCAACCCGGGAACUGCGUCUGAUACUGGCAGGCUUGAAUCCGGGAGAGGGAUGCGGAAUUCCAGGUGUAGCGGUGAAAUGCGUAGAUAUCUGGAGGAACACCGGUGGCGAAGGCGGCAUCCUGGACCGGCAUUGACGCUGAGGCGCGAAAGCCAGGGGAGCAAACGGG